UGACCAAGAAACGAGAAAUCGAUACGAGGGAGGGAGCUAGGAUUCGCAGGGGAGAGAUGAGGCUCUAGCUCCGAAUUCCGCUAGAGCAGCGAAGCCCCCGCUGUCCUCCGCGGGCCUUCGUCGGAGACGACGAGGACGAUUUCGAGCUAGAGAUCUCUCGCUAAGCUUCGAAGCACAAGGCCCUCCAGAAGAUUUGCGUUCGUCUCUUAUAAACCCUAAUUCUUACCAUUGUUUCCAUCGAUUGAGAAGAAACAUUGGCUAAAUUUGUGAUUUUUUGUUUGUUUUGUUGGAUUUCCGAAUGGAAUUUGGAAAAAGAUAAGAGGAACAGCACAACAAGGCUGUACGAGGACCCCUCGGUGUUCGACUACGAUGGGGUGUACGACCAGGUGAGAGAGAAGAUCGCCCGCCCCAAGAUUCAAGACCCCACUGAGAGAAGAAACAUGGAGCUGCAAAUCUUGCCAGCAACUUGCCAUUGGCGAUCCAAGUGUCAACAGUCACAUUACAGAUUAUCAUCAGCUACUCUGCAGCGAGGUCCCCUUUUUUUUUUUUUUGUUCCAUCCACUGAGUAUAGAGUGCUCAUCAUGGUAGACCACUUGGUAUGACUAGAUCAUCCAUGCUUGGAGUGCUGGCAGGCAAGCUCUGAAACUUGUGCAUCAGCCCCUCGAUGUUGAGCAGGUAAAAAUACGACAGGGUUUGAAGUGUGCUCUAGUACAAAGUAAGGUUUUCAUAAUGCCUGCUAUCAGUUUGCUAGUGGUGGCUCUGUUACAGCAUUUGAAUAUGAGAAGGUGUUAACUUGCUGUCCUGUUUAUCAACUAUCUUCUGUAAUUCAGUUUAUGCGCUCUUCAGAAAAUUUUUGAGUACGGGACACCAACUCUUUUGUAAUUAAUAUUAAUUGAUAAAACAGAGGUUCAUAUACAACAUAUUCUUUCUCUGUUAUAUACUUAUAUACUUGACUUUUAUUAAUUUAACUGAAGGCACAUUGCUUGGUUCCAGUAAGGAUCUUUAUUUACUUUCGUUUGUUGACUGAAAAUCUCCCAAUGCUGCAGAUGGGGAUAUUCUGUGCUGAAUUAUUGAUUUGUUGUGGUUGUCAUAAUGACUAGUGACUAGUGAAGACGACCACCAUCACUACCAAUGGCUAAAUUCAGAGAGAGAAGUACUCUCAGUUGGUACUGUCAUCCUGGGGCAGUGUGGUAUGACCAUUUUGUCGAUUAUUUUGACAGCCAGGGUAUUACCUGGUUCAUCUCUUUUCAUGUAUCAGGCCUCGUGAUAGGCCAUCUGAAUAGACGGUUCACAACGUUUAUCACGAAACAGUUUCUCCAACAAUAUAAUGACAGAAAAUUUUCUUGAAUCUUUUUUUUUUUUUUGGAAGACAAAAAGGAAAAGCCUUUUAGAACUUCUAAUUGCUUAAUUACUUGUUAGUUAUUAUGUAUAUAUCAAGGUUUUCUGUCAAAUCUAAAUCAAUCCCUCUUAUUUGUUAGGCCACUUUAUGGGCUGAGAUAUAGGGCUGCUCGGAGCUAAUGUUCGAAAUCGGUGGUUUGUGCCUGCUGGAAGGUAGAUGACAAUGGAACCCUGAUCCUAGAAGACGAGAGAAAGACUACUAUUACCCCCUUAACUUUUCUCUCGACUCCUUUCUAGGUUUUUGGCAAACCCAUUUCUAGAUCCCUCAUGUUGCAGCUUGCUUCUCAUGGCAACAUUUUAUGUAGUGGUGGAUGUUAGAUCUUGGAUGACGAGGAAGAGCUAAUAGCAAUGGUCAACUUCGGUCCUUGGUCGGGGACCGCAACAUCACACUCAAUUUCGGAAGCUUGUUAUUUUUUAUUUUUUUUAUCAUGCACAAGAAAAUUAGUAGCGUAAAUUAGGGGUUUGCUGGAUAUACCAGUGCGUGGUGGAUGAAUUGGAGAUGCUUUUCUUGAUGCAACCUUAGAUACAGCCAUUGGAAAGCUUAUGAUGCUGCUGUGGAAUCAUCAUUUGCAUGGACUGGAAGUUGAGUUUGAAAACAUGAGCAUAAGACCAGCAUCGUAGAUAAUGUAGAUGUCCAGGUCUCUACGGUGUUGCAAGACUGGGAUGGAUAGAGAUGACUACAGAGAAGGAAGCUUGGAAUGGCAUUAAUAAAGUGACAGGGAACCAUCAAAAUGACUUGUAAUGUCUACAAUUUAAGCUGUAAAUGACGUGUGCAGAGGCGAGGAAGGGUUCCCUGGAUUUAGAACGAUCAAUCAUAAAAGAUGAUGAGAAGACCUAAAAAGGUGUGGAUGGAAGGGGAGUUCUAAAUAGGUUUAGUUUUUUUAGGGUUGGGCAUCACCAUGGUUUAACCCAACUUGGUACCAAGUACAGGAUAUUGACCUGAAUUUGACCUGUAUUUCUUGGACAGAAGUCAGGAUUAAGUUCUGCAUGAACACAAGAGUAUGAAAUUAUCUAGAUUUAGCGCUGUUGCUUUUAAUGACAUGUUUGCCAAGGAACUGUGGAAACAUUUUGACAUGCAAGGGAGGAUGUAUGGAAGUUUACAGAAUACCCAUGGUGCUUGCAGAACUGCAUGGGAAAAGGCUAAGGUGCAUGCUCAAUAAGAUCAGCCAAAGGCUUGAGGAUGCAUGACCACAAAGGAGAGCCACUGGUUUGGAUGAAGUGAAGAUAUGAAGGGUGUAAAAAGAUUAUGCUAGUGACAAGAUUUGUCUCUGUUGAUAGAGGACAAAGAGAAGCUAAUCAAAACAAAUUUGACAACCGUGGAAACAGAAUGUGGUGAUGAAGGCAAAAGUAGAUCACAGAUGUAGCAAUGAGCGCAGACCAACUGCGGCAAGGAGCCUUAAGCUGCAAUGUCAGUGAUUCAAGGAUCCUCUGAAAUGGAAACCUCGGCAAUGCAGAACUACAAAGUAAUAAAUUUAUCAGUUUAGGGUACAGGAUAUCAUGAAGAUGAGCUUUACUGAAAUGGUUGGCUGAUGGUGAAGCUGUCUACUUGGCAAAGUCAACUAGCGCUUAUGAAUAGUGCCAGGGACUAAAGGAGCAGCAGUUUAAAGAUGCAAGAAGAUGAGGCCAGUAAGUUAGAGAGCUCAAAGUAGCAAAAUUCUGCUCCACCUACUGAAGUUUAUACACUGGAAAGCUAGGAAGUCUUUAUGCAGCUGUUUGCGAUUGUUCUUGGUGUUACGGUGUCACUUGCUCCUGAAUCCUUUUCUUGUGGUUGUGCAUUAUGACGCACCUGUGUAUGUAACCCAUAUGCUGUGAUCAAGAUGCUUGCCGUGCAUCUGUCAUCCUAAUCACUUUGUCGAGCAUCCGUGUUUUGGAGUCCUUCCUUGCUGCUUUUGUGCUGGUGAUCAGUGGUCUUCAUUUAAACCAGGACAAAUGUUUCCAGAGUUCAGUUCGUCAAAUAUGGUUCAAUAUAUGCCAUUAUAUUUUUUUGUGGAAAUAGAUGUGUUUUCUUCCAUAACUAUAUCAGCUAUCAGAAGUCAUAAUUUUCAUCGGCCGACUUGUCAAUGAGAAAGAAACGGCAAUAUUCACUCUUCUUUUGAAUUAGUUCAGUGUGUACAUCUAAAUUCUGUAAGCAAACUUUACCUUUCAAUUAAACUCAUGACCUUAGAUUA